UAACUCAUUAAAACAAUAGUGAAUGGAACAUAAUCAAUCAAUCAAUAAAUAGUGUAUCAAGAAGUUAUGCAAAGUGUAAUUUUACAUCCUGGCCAAUUCUAAACUGUCAAUAUUGUACAAUAUAGCGUUCAGUGUUGACAGUACCUAACUAACCACCUAUUUUCCCCCAAUAACUCUCUCAGGUGAAGGACAUCUCACUGGAGGCCACAGGAACUUUGUGAAGCCAGCGGGACAUAAUACAUGGAGGAUGACCAACCAAUCACUGUUGAUGAGGGGAGUGGAACUCAACCCAGCACUUUAUUGUGAUAGAGGAUGCAGAUACAGAGGCUGCAAGUCCUGGAGGAUCGUCCCUGGUCAAGKAGGAGAGGACUGAAGAAGAGGACCAACGACACAGCAUCACAGAGGAGGAGGAGGGUCCAGAGGGGCUGCUAGUGAAGGAGGAGG